UGUGACUGUCUAAAUUUUUCUUAAGUAACAAGCACAUGGUGGCACUUGGAAGUAACGAAUUUGACAAGCGACUAUUUUGGUCUUAAAGAUGUCAAUAAAUAAGAAUUUAGUUGUUUUAGACCGACGGAAGAAGCACAACAACUUGCCAAUUAAAAAGAGUCAUGGAAUCGAAGAAUUGUUACCGCAUACUUGCUUUUUUUUGUGAUAGAGAGUGUAAUAUCUUACAUAACUAGUAAGCUCACUCUUUCCCAUAAACUCAGGACUUUUUGGUUCUGACAAUAGCUUUAUAUCAUAGCAAUUAUUGCCUCCUCAUUGUAAUGUAGAUUGGUAUUCCAAGCGAAUAUAACCAAACGCUUAGUUACUUUGAAUCGUGGUAAAUAAGCAUCGUUAUUUUUCAUGGCAAAAAA